GGAUGUAGCCAAGUGGUAAGGCAGUAGACUUUGACUCUACCAUGCGCUGGUUCGAAUCCAGCCCUC
rnacentral:tRNA from 1 species